rnacentral:rRNA from 1 species
GAAUUGCGAUAAGUAAUGUGAAUUGCAGAAUUACGUGAAUCAUCGAAUCUUUGAACGCAUAUUGCACUCUCUGGUAAUCCGGAGAGUAUGCCUGUUUGAGGGUCAG